rnacentral:misc_RNA from 1 species
GAUGAAGAACGCAGCGAAAUGCGAUAAGUAGUGUGAAUUGCAGAAUUCAGUGAAUCAUCGAAUCUUUGAACGCACAUUGCGCCUUCUAGUAUUCUGGGAGGCAUGCCUGUUUGAGCGUCAUUAAACCUCUCUCAAGUAUGAUUACUUGGAUGUGAAGGAAGAGUACCUUAAACUUAAGGAGUGUUCUCCUUUGAAAUUGAUUAGCAGAUGGUAAUGUUAUUAAAUCCCUGAUGUUGUAAGAAAUAACAGUGGUUUUGUAGACUAUUAUCUAGCUUUAAAUUAUAAUUUUUAUUAUGGUUGACCUCAAAUCAGGUAAGGAUACCAGCUGAACUUAAGCAUAUCAAUAAGCGGAGGA